rnacentral:lncRNA from 1 species
AAAAAUAUUUUGUGGUGGUGAUUCAUUCUCAAAGCCUAUAAAUAGGCUUCUACAUCAAGGUAUCAUCAACCAAUUCACAAAUACAUUUCUCUACUCCCAAAUUGGAAGAGAAUCCCCCAAAUCUUUGAAGCUUUGAAACUCUAAAGCUCUCAAGGUUCCCGAAGAAUCAAGAAAGCUCUCUUCGUUCUUUGUUCUUCGUUCAUCGUUCUUCCAAGAUCAAGCCCCGACGGCCCUUGGAUCAACCAUCCACCAAUUCAAGAUCAAGCCCCAAAGGCCCUUGAAGAACUUCCACCAAUUCAAGAUCAAGCCCCGACGGCCCUUGAAGAAAGCACCAUCGUUCAUCAUCCGUUCAUCCAAGAUCAAGCCCCGACGGCUCUUUUGGAUCAACAACAUCACCAAAUCCACAUAAUUGUUCAUCCUAAGAUCAAGCCCCAAAGGCCCUUUGGAUCAACAACAUCAACAAAUCCACACAACUGUUCAUCCCAAGAUCAAGCCCCGAUGGCCCUUGGAUUAACAAUCAUCCAUCUUCAAGAUCAAGCCCAAAAGCCCUUGAAUAUCCGUUCAUCACUAUUCUUCAAGAUCAAGCCCAAAAGCCCUUGAAGAUCCGUUCAUCAUAGUUAUUCAAGAUCAAACCUCAACAGCUCUUGAAGAAACACUCAUCCUCAAGAUCAAGCCCCAACGGCUCCUUGAAGAUCCGCUCAAAUCCACCUUCAAGAUCAAGCCCACGGCCCUUGAAGAACGUUCAUCCUUAGAUAAAGCCCAACGACCCUUUGGAUCAAUUGCACAUCUACAAAUACAUAUCUUACGAAGAUCGAAUCAGAGGAUCAAGUUAAAAGAGAUCGUAACCUAACAAAUCCAUUAACACCAAAAUAUUAUUUUGUGCACGUUGUUCUUGUCUCUUUCGUUUCAGGAAUUUUCCGUGUUCACAAAUUGGCACGCCCAGUGGGACAAUCUCUACCUCUCAUCUCUUUCUCCGUUCAAGGAAUCCAAACACACCUCAAAGUCAAUGGCAUCAAGCAAGGGACAAGCCAUUCUCGCAAUCACUGAGGGAAGGAUCCUAAGCACUUCUACCGCAAAUGGACAAUCCAUUAGCGCCACAACCGCUCCUCAACAUGCCACUUCAAAGUUGGUGCCGCUAAAAGAGCAAAGGGAGCAUCAAAGGUGUGAGUCUGUCAUCAACCUGACCUCGCUGGGGGCACCGAAGCAUGCUGCUGAGGCACACAAGAUGACAUCCCAAAACAACCAACGACGUUCUUCGUCAGCAUCUUGGAUGACUAAAGGAAAGUCACGUCUAUUGGUUGCAUAAGUCAUGACCAUCGGCGUUACCUCCAUCGAAGAACAACUGGCUCAAAUGAAUGAAGCAAUCGCAAGGCUAACCCGAACUGUGGAAGAAAAAUACUUGCAAAUCGCUGCACUCGUCAGUCGACUGAAGCCACAGGACGGCGAGAACCCUAACCCAGAAGAUGAGCCUACGGUGGAGAGAAUCGAUGUGAAGCCGGAGCCAGACCAAGAAGCGGCACUCAUGGGAUCUCUUUCUAUCCAGCAGUUGCAAGAGAUGAUUGCCAGCACCGUCAAGGCACAGUACGAAGGAAGCUCAAAUACCUCCGGGUUGUACUCAAAGCCUUAUUCAAAGAAGAUUGAUGCCCUAAAGAUGCUGAGGGGAUAUCAACCACCAAAGUUCAUGCAGUUUGAUGGAAAAGGAAACCCAAAGCAGCACGUUGCACAUUUCGUCGAAACUUGCAACAACGCGGGGAUGGAGGGAGACUACCUCGCCAAGCAGUUUGUACGCUCGCUGAAAGGAAACGCCUUUUAGUGGUAUACGGACCUAGAGCCUGAGUCCAUCAACAGCUGGGAACAGUUGGAAAGGGAAUUCCUCAACCGCUUCUGCAGCACCCGCCGCACUGUGAGCAUGGUAGAGCUAACGAGCACAAAGCAAUGGAAGGACGAGCCAGUCAUUGACUACAUUAACAGAUGGCGCACUCUAAGCCUCGACUGUAAAGACAGGCUAUCGGAAACCUCUUCAAUCGAGAUGUGCAUCCAAGGCAUGCAAUGGGGUUUCCAAUACAUCCUUCAAGGCAUUAAACCACGGACCUUCGAGGAAUUGGCCACUCGCACCCAUGACAUGGAGUUAAGCAUCGCCCAUCAUGGGAAGAAAAAACCGAUCUCUGACUACAAGAUUGACAAAGUUCUUGAGACAAAGGUGGAGAAGGCUGCGUGGAAAUCCACCAAGGAAGCAAUGACUAGGGGUGGGUUCGGUACGGUUACCGUACCAAAACCCUCGUACCAAUUACCGUACCAAAUUUUCGGUUUGGUAAAAUCUAUUACCAUUACCAUACCAAAAUUUCGGUAUACCGAAGUUUGAUAUUGCCAAAUGUUCGGUUGGCAUGGUAUGGCAAUGGUAAUUGCCACUUUAUUUUGAGACAAAAUCUGUUUUUGCUUUGUUCAACAUUUCAUAUUUUGUGCCUAUGUAAUAAGACAAAGAUAUAUAAACCAAAUGCAUAGACAGAAGAAAAUUCUCAUAACAAGUGCCCAAAUGGAUUUUGGAUUUCCACCUUCAAAUGGAUUUACAGCCGCAUGAAAUGUUGAUGAAUUACUUGAAAAUUAUAAGCCUAAAACAAAGAAUGGAAACAUAAAGCAGUAAUUUAAAUUGUAGCCUAAAUUCAUCUAUUAUUCAUUAUUCAUAAUUCACACACACAAUAAUUCAAAUUAUGCAUCAAAAUGAAAAUUAAGCUUACAAUCCAAGAAGAAGUUACAAACCAAAACAAAUAGAAGUUAACAAUUCAAAUAGAAGUUAAAGUUUCAAACCAAAGGAAAAUUGAAACUAAACUUCAAAAGGUAAAAUUCAUUGAUCAAUUCUUCAAGUUUAAGAUGUCGAAGCUUUUGGAGGAGGCAUUAAACUUGUAGAAGAUUGAGUUUGUGUCGAGCCUAUAUUACAAACGAAGAAAACAUAUUAGUAGCAAGAAGAAUUAAAGUUGAAAACCAUUUAACAAACAAAGAAAAUAUAUUAUAAUUUAUAAAUAUGUGUUAUAUUAUAAUUAUAAUUAUAUAUUAUAUAAUUUAUAUAAAUUAUAUAUUAUAUUAUAUUUUCGGUACGGUAUGGUAAUACCGUGGUAAUGGUAUCCAUUACCAAUACCGUACCACGAACUUUUGGUACGGUACAAUACCGUACCAUUACCGUUGGCACAAAAUCGGUAUGACACGGUUGGCAAUUCGGUUGGUAUGGCAAUUUGGCAAAAAAAUCCACCCCUAGCAAUGACGGUCAACACAACUCCCGUCAAAAUCCCUACACGAGGCAAGGCGAUUCAAACCGAAGCUUUUUGUGAUCAAGAGAUGCGUAGACACACUUUGAAGGAGCUUGAGGAGAAAACUUAUCCAUUCCCCAACUCUGAUGUGGUUGCCAUGUUAGAAGACUUGCUGGAAAAGAAGGUGAUCGGCUUGCCUGAGUGCAGACGGCCAAAAGAGAUGAAUCGCACCGACAGUCCAAGGUACUGUAAAUUCCACCACUUCAUCAGUCAUCCGACAGAAAAGUGCUUCGUGUUGAAAGAUCUCAUCAUGAAGCUGGCUCAAAAAGGAAUCAUCGAGCUAGAUCUUGACGAUGUGGUGAAGUCAAACUAUACCACCAUCACUUUUGGCUCUUCCAGCUCAAAGUUUUCACCUCAACCGCUGGGGGCAUCCUCAAAGACAAGCAAAGUUGAAGAAUGGACUCAAGUCACUCCUAAGAAAUUGCACAAGAAGCAUACGUCUCCUCCACAAGUCCGCCAAUCGAAAAGGGGGCAAAGCAGCUCUUGUCAACCUUCAAAGCAACGUGAACGUGUUAAAGAUGAUGAAAUUGUGACACAAAGAUCGUCCGUUGCCAUCACGAUGCGCGACUUCUUGCCCGAAGACUUCUUCAAUCACUCGGUCAAGGCUCCUUGCUAUGAAGAUUGUGAGGAACACCUCUCCAAAAUUGCUUGACAAAUUCAUCAAUGCUCCCUGUUCGCACGAGCCUAAACUGCACGAACCAAAGCUCCUUGUCCGCAUGAGCCUAAACUGUAGGACACGAAGCUCCUUGCCCGCACGAGUCUAAACUGCAUGGCACAAAGCUCCUGGUCUGCACGAGCAUAAAAGGCAACAUCAACGCUCCUGACCCGCACGAGCAUAAAAGGCGACAUCAACGCUCCUGGUCUGCACGAGCAUAAAAGGCAACACCAAAGCUCCUGGCCCGCAAGAGCAUAAACUAUGUACGGCAAAAUCAUCAUCAAAAUCACUGUUAAAUUCAUCACUCAUUUGAACUACGUUAUGGCUUGAUCUCUUCUUUGGAAGGGUACGUAGGCGGCUUGAACAUUCAAUUUCGAGUUCAGUCAUAUCAAAAUAAAAAAAAAUUUAAAAGUUUUAUUAAAGAAAGUCAAUUUUAUUACAAAAGAAUAAAUAAAUAAAUACAUAUGUUAUUAUGUAUUUACAAAAAAAAAAAUCAAAUCAAAUUUACAAGAGGGGAUCUUCAAGGACGAUCAGGUGCCGCCUCACCACUCAGCAGAGCUCCAGAAAUGAGAGGCGCCGGAGGUUGACUGUUUAAAGCCACACCACUCGGCGGAACUCCAGGAAGAAGAGGAGCCAAAGGUUGAUCAUUUGAAGCUUCAUUACGCGGUACAGCCCCAGAAGACGAAGGCAAAUGCUGCUGGAACAAACCCACAAACCUCUGAUGAUCAAGUAAAAUCUGACCAUCAGAUUCCUGCAUCUGGUUAAUCUUCCUCUUCAUGUUUGUCGCAUAGCUAUGUGCGAGCUUAUGCAAUUGUUUAUUCUCCUACUUGAGCCCUCUAAUCUCCUAUUUGAGACUCAUCACUUCAGCCGCCAAUGAUUCAACUUGACGGGUUCGAGCAAAUAGGCGUUGGGCCAUAUUAGACACAGAACCUGCACACUGCACACUGAGAGCCAGAGAAUCCUUAACAGCCAACUCAUCAGACCGUUUGGAAAGUAGUCUGUUAUCUCUGGGAGUGACAAGGUUUCGGGCCACCACCGCAGCGGUCAUAUCAUUCUUCACCACCGAAUCCCCAACAGUAAGAGGACCAGUAGGGGAUAUGAAGGAUGGGCACCAUAUGUUAUCUGGAGAAGACAGGACUACCUCUUCACCAAGGUUUAAAUCAAAACGAUGGUCGGAGGGUCCAGACAUUUUCAAAGGUGUUGAAGAAAGAAGAGGUCAGACAAAUCAAGAUCUUAGAAGUGCAAGAAGGGAGUUUCUACAAGCGAAAAUUCAAAUGUGCUUUGAAAUGAACUGCGUGCCUCUAUAAAGAUCAACACUCGACGGGAUUUCAAAGAUCGAAGAGGUGAGCUCAGAAUUCGAAGAGGCCAAUUCAAAAAUCAAAGAGGCAAGCUCAGAAAUCGGAGAAGCAUCUUGCUUUUCCAGACGCGUUAGCACCCGUCACGCGAAAACUCAGCUUUGCGGAAAUCACAGGCAAUUUGUUAAAGUGCCAAUCCCAGAUAUCGAAGAAGCGCCAGUCUUUUUCAGCCUCGUCAGCACCCUUCAUGCGUAAACUCAGCUUUACGGAAAUCACGGGCAAUUUGUCGAAGAUCCGAUCCCAGAUAUCGAAGAGGCGCUAGUCUUUUUCAGCCUCGUCAACACCUGUCACAUGCACACUCAGCUUGACGAAAAUUACGGACAAUUUGUCGAAGAUUAAUGAUAAAGAAGAAAGCACGUGAAGCCAUACUGAUCAAUCACGCAUUGGUUGCCGACACGAGUAAAGAUACUAAAGAAUUUCCUAUAACUGUCCACCUUCACCCUCCAUAGCAAGGCAGACAUACAUAACCUUUCUUCAUCUCCGAGACCUUUCUUCAUCUCCGAGAAUGCCUUCCCAACGAAGCCUCUCGAGUCACUCAAUGUUUCUUAUUCCUUGGGGUACCUCUGCAAACAAAUGACACCAAAGCAAAAGUAUCUCAUAUCACCAGGGUAGAAAGCAAGAGUAUCUCAUAUCAUGCGUUCUCCCUGUCCUUUCCUUUGUCCUUGUUCUUACCUACAAAGACAAGGAUAAAGAAAACAAUAUGCCGGAACCUCCACUCAAACUCGGAUGCCACAUUUGCCUGGAGAACAGAUAAGGCAAGUGAAAAUGAUACCUUGCAGUAUGUGGAGACAACGUGCAGAAGAAACAAGCAGAGAAGAAUGCAGUCUUCACAGUCAGCUCAGCAGAAGGAGUCCGAGCUGAGGAACUCAAGAAGCUGCCACAUCUGCCUAAAGAAACAAGUAGAGAAUAAUGCAGCCUGCACAGUCAGCUCAACAGAAGGAGUCUGAGCUGAAGAACUCGAGAAGAUGCUACAUUCUGCUAGAAGAAUAGAUAAGACAAAGGAAAAUGAUACAUUGAAGCAUGUGGAGACAAGCACAACAAAGCACGUGCCGAUUCAUCCGCUACUUCUUCAAAAUCAAAAGUAUCUCAUAUCAUCAGGUUUGCAAUCACUCUCGGUGGAGGACUCGUUUUGACCCUCAAAUUCUUGGGUCGACUUGCUAGGCGUUGUGGGCUUCAUGUGCCGUUUCACCACCCUUGAAUCAAAUCCUUAAAGAUCAAGUCACCAACUGGAAGAAGAGCCCAUCAAUCUUGAAGAUCAUACCGUUGACCAAACUGCUCAGGUGUGAAUUAGAAAGAUUGAACAAAGCAACAAGUCGUCACCUUCACCUCGUACCUGCUUGCCAUGUGUUCGAGUCAACCUUCAAGAAUCAAGCCUCAACGGCCCUUGAAGAAGUUUCCGGCCAAAUUCAAGAUCAAGCCUCGACGGCCCUUGAGGAAAUCACAAGUCCGAUUCAAGAUCAAGCGUCCACCGUAUUUGAAUCAAAUCCAGUUCAAGAAUAAGCUGUGGAAAAUCAACAAUUGGAGGAAUCCAAAAAAUCCUCCAACCCAGUUCAAGAUCAAACCUGUGGAAAGUCAACAAAGCGCAAAAACAAAUAUGUGCCGAUUCAUCCACUACCAAAGCCAAAGAUCAUCUACCAUAUGAAGCUCCUUGUGGUCCAAUUUCAACCUUCAAGAUCAAGCCUCGACGGCCCUUGAAGAAAUUUCAAACAAAGUCCAAGAACAAGCCUCAACGGCCCUUGAAGAAAUCUCCAGCCUAAUUCAAGAUCAAGCCUCGAUGGCCCUUGGAUUGACAUCUACAGUAAGGGACUUCAAAACGCAUCUCCUACACGUGACAAGCACAUGUAUACGACGCACCUUGAAGUGGGGGCAUUUGUAGACAUCGAAAUUGCGGUAAAAUAAAUGUUCACCAACGCAUUAAAAUUUUGACGUGUCAAGGCAUACAUGGCAUAUGCCAUCUGUCAUACAAAUUGUACACAUGGUGUGUGACUCAACAAAAUAAAAAGAAAUACCCUUGGAGGAUUACACAAGUUUUUCUUCUCAUUUUGGGCAAUGACAAGGCAAGCACAUUUCAAUCCAUUGAAGAUCAAAAUAAGGUUUUCUUCUCAUUUUGGGCAAUGACAAAGCAUGCACAUAUCAAGUUUAAAAUGAUAUUAAGUGGAAAAUUAGGCCAUAAAAUUACCACUUCAAGUUUAAAAUUGUAUUAAGUGGGAAAUUAGGCAAUGGUGCUUGGAAAAGAAAAAAAUAUUUUGUGGUGGUGAUUCAUUCUCAAAGCCUAUAAAUAGGCUUCUACAUCAAGGUAUCAUCAACCAAUUCACAAAUACAUUUCUCUACUCCCAAAUUGGAAGAGAAUCCCCCAAAUCUUUGAAGCUUUGAAACUCUAAAGCUCUCAAGGUUCCCGAAGAAUCAAGAAAGCUCUCUUCGUUCUUUGUUCUUCGUUCAUCGUUCUUCCAAGAUCAAGCC